UACAGAGGUGCCGAGCGUUAGGCGGAAUCACUGGGCUUAAAGCGUGUGUAGGCGGACUUCUAAGUACCUUGUGAAAUCCCACGGCUCACCCGUGGAACUGCUGGGUAUACUGGUCGUCUUGAGCCACCUAGGGGCCAGCGGAACAAAUGGUGGAGCGGUGAAAUGCGUAGAUAUCAUGAGGAACACCGAUGGCGAAGGCAGGUCUCUGGGCCACUACUGACGCUGAGAAGCGAAAGCAUGGGGAGCGAACAGG
rnacentral:rRNA from 1 species